rnacentral:rRNA from 1 species
UCUUGCAGUUCUCAUCUGGUGUCCCAAAGAAACUAAGCUGGAUUGAGCCUGGCCUGUACCUGGAUGGGAGACCUCCUGGGGAAAACUAAGGUUGCUGCUAGAA